GAUGAACGCUGGCGGCGUGCCUAAUACAUGCAAGUCGAGCGAACAGACGAGGAGCUUGCUCCUCUGACGUUAGCGGCGGACGGGUGAGUAACACGUGGAUAACCUACCUAUAAGACUGGGAUAACUUCGGGAAACCGGAGCUAAUACCGGAUAAUAUAUUGAACCGCAUGGUUCAAUAGUGAAAGACGGUGUUGCUGUCACUUAUAGAUGGAUCCGCGCCGCAUUAGCUAGUUGGUAAGGUAACGGCUUACCAAGGCGACGAUGCGUAGCCGACCUGAGAGGGUGAUCGGCCACACUGGAACUGAGCCACGGUCCAGACUCCUACGGGAGGCAGCAGUAGGGAAUCUUCCGCAAUGGGCGAAAGCCUGACGGAGCAACGCCGCGUGAGUGAUGAAGGUCUUCGGAUCGUAAAACUCUGUUAUUAGGGAAGAACAAAUGUGUAAGUAACUAUGCACGUCUUGACGGUACCUAAUCAGAAAGCCACGGCUAACUACGUG
rnacentral:rRNA from 1 species